rnacentral:rRNA from 1 species
UACGUAGGGGGCAAGCGUUGUCCGGAUUCAUUGGGCGUAAAGCGCGUGUAGGCGGCCCGGUAAGUCCGCUGUGAAAGUCCAGGGCUCAACCCUGGGAUGCCGGUGGAUACUGUCGGGCUCGAGUCCGGAAGAGGCGAGUGGAAUUCCUGGUGUAGCGGUGAAAUGCAUUGAGAUCGGAAAGAACACCAACGGCGAAAGCACUCUGCUGGGCCGACACUGACACUGAGAGACGAAAGCUAGGGGAGCAAAUGGG